UACAGAGGUGGCAAGCGUUGUUCGGAAUUACUGGGCGUAAAGGGCGCGUAGGCGGUUUUGUAAGUCUCGUGUGAAAUCCCUCGGCUUAACUGAGGAACUGCACGGGAUACUGCGGGACUUGAGUUCGGGAGAGGGAAGCGGAAUUCCGGGUGUAGCGGUGAAAUGCGUAGAUAUCCGGAGGAACACCGGUGGCGAAGGCGGCUUCCUGGACCGACACUGACGCUGAGGCGCGAAAGCUAGGGGAG
rnacentral:rRNA from 1 species